AAGGCUUUAACUGAUCUCACACCUUAUAGAUGAAAAUUUUGCUCCAGAAGGGUUUAAGAGAGGCAUGAGUACGCCAAGUCCUUCUCUUCCUUGAGCUCCUCUGCAGUCAAAUCCAUCUUCUUCCUUGAUACUUCAUCAAUCGGAA
rnacentral:sRNA from 1 species